GAUGAACGCUGGCGGCGUGCCUAAUACAUGCAAGUCGAGCGAACGGACGAGAAGCUUGCUUCUCUGAUGUUAGCGGCGGACGGGUGAGUAACACGUGGAUAACCUACCUAUAAGACUGGGAUAACUUCGGGAAACCGUAGCUAAUACCGGAUAAUAUUUUGAACCGCAUGGUUCAAAAGUGAAAGACGGUCUUGCUGUCACUUAUAGAUGGAUCCGCGCUGCAUUAGCUAGUUGGUAAGGUAACGGCUUACCAAGGCAACGAUGCGUAGCCGACCUGAGAGGGUGAUCGGCCACACUGGAACUGAGACGCGGUCCAGACGCCUAAGGGAGGCAGCAGUAGGGAAUCUUCCGCAAUGGGCGAAAGCCUGACGGAGCAACGCCGCGUGAGUGAAGAAGGUCUUCGGAUCGUAAAAAUCUGUUAUUAGGGAAGAACAAAUGUGUAAGUAACUAUGCACGUCUUGACGGUACCUAAUCAGAAAGCCACGGCUAACUACGUG
rnacentral:rRNA from 1 species